UAUUAGAGGCACCGCCUGCCCAGUGACAUAUGUUCAACGGCCGCGGUACCCUGACCGUGCAAAGGUAGCAUAAUCAUUUGUUCUUUAAUUAAGGACUUGCAUGAAAGGCCCAACGAGGAUUUUACUGUCUCCUACUUCCAAUCAGUGAAAUUGACCCCCCCGUGAAGAGGCAGGGAUGACCAUAUAAGACGAGAAGACCCUACGGAACUUUAAUUAACUAGCCUAAUCAUAACCCAUACAAACCUAGCGGGGACAACUUUCCAUGACCUAGACUAGCAAUUUCGGUUGGGGCGACCUCGGAGUACAAAAAAACCUCCGAAUGACCAUGCACCCAGACCUCACCAGUCAACGUGCCUCAAUAUCAACUCAAUUGACCCAAGUAAUUGAUCAACGGAACAAGCUACCCUAGGGAUAACAGCGCAAUCCUAUUUCAGAGUCCAUAUCGACAAUAGGGUUUACGACCUCGAUGUUGGAUCAGGACAUCCCAGUAGUGUA
rnacentral:rRNA from 1 species